rnacentral:rRNA from 1 species
CCCAGACUCCUACGGGAGGCAGCAGUGGGGAAUAUUGCACAAUGGGGGAAACCCUGAUGCGGCGACGCCGCGUGAGUGAGGAAGUAUUUCGGUAUGUAAAGCUCUAUCAGCAGGGAAGAAAAUGACGGUACCUGACUAAGAAGCCCCGGCUAACUACGUGCCAGCAGCCGCGGUAAUACGUAGGGGGCAAGCGUUAUCCGGAUUUACUGGGUGUAAAGGGAGCGUAGACGGAAUAGCAAGUCUGGUGUGAAAGCCCGGGGCUCAACUCCGGGAGUGCAUUGGAAACUGUUGAUCUAGAGUGUCGGAGAGGCAAGCGGAAUUCCUAGUGUAGCGGUGAAAUGCGUAGAUAUUAGGAGGAACACCAGUGGCGAAGGCGGCUUGCUGGACGAUGACUGACGUUGAGGCUCGAAAGCGUGGGGAGCAAACAGGAUUAGAUACCCCCGUAGU